GGGGCUUUCGCGUAUGGUUUCAUUUUGCAGCGCCGAACGUGCUGGAAAUGUGGUGCGUCUCGCUGGCCGUUUGGGGACGCGCGCUUUAAAAUAAAAGCGUCAGCCAAAAGCAUACAUAUGAUUGCAAGUGAAGUCAACACAGCAGGCGACAGCUGUAGUUUUAAAAUGAAACCACACGAGGGAGUCAGUGGAUAAGAAUUGAAUGACGUUUGAGCGCUGCACUACCUACAAACUCAGCGAUGUCAACUGUGAGUGUAACCUUAUCGCCCAUCGGCUUUCUCUGACACCUGGCUGAUGCUAUCAGAAAGGAUGUGUGCAAGGUUCCUGAAUGUAAAUUCAUCCAAAUAAAGCCACCAAAUAACCUGAAUGGUUAGUGCCUCCACUUCAGAUUCAAUGGUCAGGAAAGGCCAGACCAGUGUUCAUUUGAAAUGGAAAAUGACAGUGGACAGUGGUUUCAAGUUCAAUUUGCCUUAAAACCAUUACCCCCUCAGGCUUCCCACCAUGAAAUUUGCUCACUGUCCUAAUUAGGGCAUGCAUAGUCACCUAACCUGUACCCAUCCUAUUGUAGAGUCGAGCGAUUUGUCACUAUGCAUAUUUGAAUUAGUCAAAUAGGCUAAAUGACUCUUGGCAACUAAAAACCUGCAACGAGCAACUAAAUACCAGCAUCUGUGCAGACAAGAAAAACGCAUCAUCUCAAACACACCUUGAGACUAAAAGCUUAAAACACUUAAUGAAACGUAUCAUUGUUGUAUUGUGUGUGUGUGUGCGUGUGUUUUUAAUAUUACUGUGCAUUAAAUUCUGUGCCAAUUUUUAAACGUUUUGUAAAUGUAAUCUUAAACCGGCCUAAGCAAAUGUAGGCUUUAACAUUACAAAUAGGUGGCUUACAAAAACAAUCCAAUGUGCGUAACAAUAGGACUAUGUAUUUUGACAGAUGUAACGUAUAUACCAAAAGAUAAUUUUAGACUUUGUGGGCAUCGUAUAAACACAUUGGUUAUUACAGUCACUGUGCCAGCAUUGGCAUUCACCGCACGUUGUGUUUGCGCAGUGGCCACAACUAUAUAUAUACCAUCGAUUGGAGCGGCUUUCAUAGGCUACUUUGGCUAAUUGCCUGUGUUUUCCAGGUGUGACCCGACCAAAGGCACGUUAUAUUUAGUUUUACAUGUGACAUCUGCUGCAGGGGAUUGUUUGUUUUGUAAGUGGUGCUGUUGGUAUUCUGUGCGUCCCAGGUGGAUAACUUUCCUGAUUAAGCCCUUUCGUAUUUAAAUGCCAUGCAGCAGGGGUGACAGGCUCUGUCACGAACCAUUACACUUUUGAAUCUUAUGUUAUUGACACCCAAUAUGCCUAAAACAAAUAUCAGUUGUGGACGAAACUUCGAAGUUUGAAUAUAGUCGUGUCGCGUUUCAAUUAACGACACUCCGUGGCUCCAGAGGCUUUUGUUUUCCAGAGCUGUAAUGAACCAGAGUUAUUUUUAGCAUCCCACAGCAGGCACACGUAAUAUACGUCUGUUUCUGUGAAAAUCAAAAGCUCAAAGAUAAAGAUUUACCUGUCAAAUACUACAGUACUUAAUCGUACUUCUUCAAUCUAAAUUUGGUGAAUGAGGUGUCUGUUAUGUCCACCUCAUUGCAUUAAACUGUUUCUUAAAAAUCCCUCUUGGCCAAUAGGCUACAUUUUCCUUUAAACCCCGGCCAAUGUUUAUCUGCCCCUCUGUCAUCUCCUCAGAUAUCGUCCAGAUUUACCUACAGGUGCGGGACACCUUCCAUCACUUGACCCUUUAAUUUUGCCGCGCCGCUACUCGAACCCAGGGUUUUUAACAGGCUCCUGGGACCAGCAUCUGAUAAAGAGCAGCACUGGAAAUCUUUUUCCAAGAUGGUGCAGGAUUCCAAUGAGGUCAAGAUGCAGUCUGGGGGGAGGAAGCGCUGUCAGUGAAACCUCUUUGUAGUUGUCUUUGUUGCAGGUGUUCUGCCACUCACUGUUACCCUCUGCAGCCGGUUCAUCAUCUCUUUGUACAUGACAUCUGCUCACAUUACAGUCAGGAAAGAGACUUUGCACAAAAAAUAGAAGAGAGUUAGGUUGAGAACGAAACAUCUAGAUAGAUCUAAAUAUCAAAGAGGUGACAUAUCUAUCAUGAAGACUGAUCCAAAAAGCAAACGCUGAUUAUUUUAUCAACUUCAUGUCUAUUUUAAAAAGGUUUGUUUGCUUGUCGUAAAUCAAGAUGAUCCUGGCAAUUUAAGCUCACAAUGUGUUUUUAACUUGUCACACUGAAUACUUGCAACUCCAUGGGGAUGAUGUCAGCAGAAUACCUGACUACCACCAACGACCAGCAGGCAUCUGGGAGCAGUUAAGAGCUAUUUUAUACUCUCACCCUCAUUCUUUAACAGUGUGAAGUCUCUGUAUGUGUAAGGAAUUGGCUAUACCAGGGGUCUCCAACCUUUUUGUGAGCAAGUGCUCCCACAAUGGAUAAAACUAUUUGGAGGGCUACUUUUUUAAUAUAGUCUACUUCAAUGUUAACAUACACAAAAAUAAGCUAGGGCAAAUCAAAGUCUCCCUAUGGGCAACCAUGUUGGAGACCACUGGACUAUGCCUAUGAGGGUGUAUGAAGAGCUCAAUUGCAAAACCCUCUAAGUGAGUCUGACAUGUUUGCUUGUAAUUUAGCAUUUUUAUCAGGCUCUUUUGUUUAAGUUCAGUAGUUUCACUUAAAUGGCAAUGAAAAGGUAAUUUGUCAGUAAUUAAAAUGGCUUAUUUUCACAAAUUACACUUCAGUCAUUUUACAAAUUUGACUUGGCGCAGCAAAACCCUAUACACUCUAUAAAUUCCUUGUUGCACUUGAAUUAAUAAGUAAUUUCAACUUUUUUGAAUAGUUAGAAGUUGCUAUAAAUUAUAAAAUUUUAAUAAUCCAUUCGACU